rnacentral:siRNA from 1 species
UUCACAUGUUGUUUCACUGCCA